rnacentral:rRNA from 1 species
CCUACGGGAGGCAGCAGUAGGGAAUCUUUCACAAUGGGCGAAAGCCUGAUGGAGCAACGCCGCGUGCAGGAUGAAGGCCUUCGGGUUGUAAACUGCUUUUAUAAGCGAGAAAUAUGAUGGUAACUUAUGAAUAAGGAUCGGCUAACUACGUGCCAGCAGCCGCGGUCAUACGUAGGAUCCGAGCAUUAUCCGGAGUGACUGGGUGUAAAGGGUUGCGUAGGUGGCAUAAUAAGUAGCUAGUGAAAUCUGGUGGCUCAACCAUUCAGACUAUUAGCUAAACUGUUAAGCUCGAGACCGUUAGGGGUAACUGGAAUUUCUAGUGUAGGAGUGAAAGCCGUAGAUAUUAGAAGGAACACCAAUAGCGUAGGCAGGUUACUGGGACGGUUCUGACACUAAGGCACGAAAGCGUAGGGAGCAAACGGGAUUAGAUACCCGUGUAGUC